ACAAAGUGUUUUAGAGUUACCGGU
rnacentral:siRNA from 1 species